rnacentral:rRNA from 1 species
UACGUAGGGUGCGAGCGUUAAUCGGAAUUACUGGGCGUAAAGAGCGUGUAGGCGGCCAGAUAGGUCUGUUGUGAAAACUCGAGGCUCAACCUCGAGACGCCGAUGGAAACCAUUUGGCUAGAGUCCGGAAGAGGAGAGUGGAAUUCCUGGUGUAGCGGUGAAAUGCGCAGAUAUCAGGAAGAACACCCGUGGCUAAGGCGGCUCUCUAGUACGGUACUGACGCUGAGACGCGAAAGCGUGGGGAGCGAACAGG